rnacentral:misc_RNA from 1 species
UGAUUAGGAAAACUGUGAUAUCGUAUUUGGAAUUUGUGUUUUGGUCUUUAUUAGCGUUUGUAUGUCUGUUUGGCUUGUGAAUGAUUUUGAGCCCUUUGCAGAUUGUCGUUGUUGCUUAUAGACUCUCUCUGCUACUCCCAUCUAUAUAAUUACUUUUCUAUUGAAGAAAUGAGAAGGAAAAGUGACAAGCUGAAGGAAAAAGAUAGAGAGAGUCCAGAAAAGAAAACAGUCCGGCGCUCAUCUCGGAGGCAUUCUAAGAGGAGAAAACACUCCCAUUCCUCUUCACCAGAAGCGGAAGACUCUGGUGCAGAUGAUAGUGAGUCUCAAUGCAGGAGUAGAUCAUUGAAACCAGAUGAGAAACAAGAGGAUAAUACAGUUUCUAAUGAAUUAAAUGAAACAAUUAAGUCUGGCCAAAAGAAGACGGAUCCAGGCAAAAAUACAGAAAAAAACUUGACAGGCUGUGAAGAGGAUUGGAAAGAAGACACUGCAUUUUGGUCCGAAGACAACCCACAGGGAUUGCUUCCUAAAGAGACUACAGAACCAAUUCAGAAAAAGUUACCCACCACAGAAGUGAUGGACACAGAUGAAGGUUCACAGUCUCAGCAGUCUCUGCCUGAGACUGGGAGAGGUGUUGUUUUAGAACCAAAGACAAGAAGAACAAAACGGAUACGUAGAAGGUCUACUGCCAGUGGCUGUGAGGAUGGAGAACCUGCUGCAGACAGAGCAACAUGUGACGAAAUUGCAGCCAGUUCUGCAGUUGAGAGUGAAGAACAGAGAGGAAGAACUGAAAGUGAAUCUGACAAUGGGACUGAAGUGACAGUUAGUAAAAGGGAUAGAGUGGCUUCAGACUGUGCUCAGGGAAGUAAUGUGUCAGAAGCAAAGGGGAGUGAAGUUAAAUUGAAUGAGAACUCUAGUGAACAGGGUAGAAGAAAUUCCGUGGACAAUAGAUCAGAGCAGGAAGAUCCUGCUGAAGAGAAACUAUCUGUUGGAUUAAAUUCUGAGGUAGUAAAAAAAGAAAAAACUAUAGAAGAAAAGAUUGCAGAUAUGUGCAAUGAUUCUUCGUGUGAUAAGUCAGAAACAGACUGCGACAACAACUCUCGGAAAGAUAUUUCUGAGGGCAUGACUAAAGAAAAGGUAUUGGAACUUCUAGGUGAUGACAGUUCUGCAGUGCAAAGCAGUUUGAAGUUAGAAAGUGACAGAGAAACAUCAGAUGAAAGUACUGUACAACAAGAUGCAAUCAAAGAUGACAGUAGUGCAUCACGAGCGUCUUCAGAGACACCUUCCAAGGAAAGUGCUGUUCCAAGGAGACGCAGCAGCAGUGAUUCGGCAGAUUUUCAGUCAAAUAGGGAGGAGGGUGGACGUGACUCAUCAGAAGGAGUGAAAAUGGAAUUGUCUGAUGAAAAAAAUGCUCUUCUUAAGGAAACUGUCUCAUCAUCUGAUAAACAGCAGCCUGAGGCAGACGAUUCUGCCAAGGAAACCGACUCGGUGCAUGAGAAAAACUCACAGAAGACUGAUAAGCAUGUGGAGAAGCUCCAUGAGGCAGGUAAUUCAUCUGCAAAAAAUGAGAGUGGCUCAUCUGAUCAACCGAAAACAGAAGAGGUGAAAGUGAAACCAAAGAGAAUAAAAUUGUGUCGGACAAGUAGAGAUACGAACAGCUACAGUGCAGCCAGUAAAGACACCAGAAGCCACAGCCCUGAUUCACACGAGAACCAAAGGCCUGUAAAGUUGAACAGGAAAAGCCGUAGUCCAGAGCCAUCACAGAAGAGUCGCAGAAGGGAAAGUGACUCACAAGAACCUCGCAGUCCGGGUCAACGUUACGAAAGAAUUAUUUUAAGGAGAUCAUUUUCAGAAAAAUCUGUUUCAAGAAUUGAAGGGGACACAGGAACCGUUUCCCGUGCCAAAACUGAUAUUGCAACAGAUUGCAAGGAUAAUAAGGAGAAUGAGAAGCUGGUCUCAAAUAAAGCAGAUGCAGCAGAAGCAGCAGCAGGCAGCAUUUCUCGAAAAAGGCGUUGGGGUGCAAGUAAGACAAGCCGAGCCAAUAAGAAGCCUGUACUUUCAAUCUCAUCAGAUUCUCUCAAGAACUUGAUUCCUGGUGCCAAACCACUUUCUGCCGGAGAAGUUCAGCUGACUGAAGAUGAUAACUGUAAAGAUACUAAAAUUGAAGUGGAAGAAAGCUGGUCAGCAAAAGUUACAGAGGUAAAGGAAUUGAUGAGGCCACUUGCAGUGAUGCCAGACACCAGCAGACCCACUACAUCAGCAGCAGAUGAUCACAAUAGGUUUGCUGUGAGGAAGAUCUCAAUUGUGUCUGAUGAUGCCCGGACCUUGCAGCGUUCCCCCAGUCCUCCAAAAAACAAGGUGUCCGACAUAUUGUUUAUAACCAAUUUGGUACGGCCUUUCACAGUUCACCAACUGAAGGAAUUGCUUGCAAGGACUGGCACUAUUGUUGAAGAUGGCUUCUGGAUUGAUAAAAUUAAAUCAAAAUGUUUUGUGCAGUACGAAACAGAGGACCAAGCAAGGGAGACACGGCAUGCGCUCCAUGGUAUAAGGUGGCCUGUCUCCAAUCCAAAACAGUUGUGUGUAGAUUUUGGACGAAGAGAAGAUAUGGAAGCAGCAAAGGCAGCGGGUGAAACUGACAGUGUUGUGCGCAAGACAGAUCCGCUACAGGUGGAAAGAGUGCCUCCAGUCUCUCUGCCUGUGCAAGGCGGAAAUAUUCCACUUGUUGAGAACUGGGUUGCAUCUCAGCAGCAGCGUGACAAAGAACGAGACAGAGAACGUGAAAGGGAGAGGGACAGGGGGCGAGUUAAGGAAAGGGGAGCUGCACCGCCAGAACAGAGGACACAGAAGGUUCCUCCUGCUGUUAGAGAGUGGGAUCUUGGUAAGAUCGGGCAAAUGUCUCCUGAAAGAGAUAGCAGAUCGGAAGAAAGAACCAAAGACAGAGAACGAAAAUCUCGCAAAGAUAAGCCACAUAGGAGCAGGAGCACAUCUCCUUCUGACAUAUCUGCUAGAAAAAGUAAGAAAAAAGAGGAUGAUGCACCAGCAAAACUUUUGGACGAUUUGUUCAGGAAGACAAAAACAGCACCAUGUAUAUAUUGGCUGCCUCUUACUGCAGAACAGAUAGUGGUGAAGGAAGAAAUGAGGCGCAAGCACAUGGCGGAACACGAGCGCCGUAUGGCAGAAAUGCGGAAAGCAGAACGUGAAAGGGAGAGGGAACGUGCACGAGCUCAGCAGAGGCCCCACCGCCGAAGUGGUGGUGGAGCUGGUGACAGAGACAGAGACAGGGAGAGGGACCGCCGGUCUGGACGGCGACGCUCUGCCAGUGGUUCACCUAAGAAAUAAAGAGUGAGGCGCUGUCUGGUGACACAGACAGCCAGCAGGAGAACUGGCAUGACUAAGUCUUGGCAGAUAUAGGUCUCCCAGGCCACAACACGGGGCCCACUCGCGCUCGUCUGGAGGGUCCCCAAUGGGGACACAGCAAUCAGCCCCCUCUAAGAUCUUGGGGGGAUGGUGUAUGGGCCCAGUCCUUUGGGUGUCUGUGCUGACAAGAUUAGUAAAGGAUAAACAUCGGACGUGUGUUCCACGCUGUAAUGGUCUCAGAAGACAGCAGCGAAAAAUCGUCGGGAAAUGGAAAGAAUUUUACCUGUUGCUUCUCCGGCAGUAACAAUUCUCCAUCAGUUUGAAGAUAGGCAACUCAAACGUUAUCAAAGUUUAGAAGAUAUGUGGUGUCACUGUGGCAAGAAGUGAUUUGCUUAAUAUGUUUGAAAGAAGAUAUUCAUCAUUGAAAUGUUGCUGUGGCUAUAGACCAUGAGGUGACAGAUGUGUGCAGAUUCUAACAAGGCACUUCUUUUGAGCAUCUCUUCAAUCUGUAUAGCUUCUUGUGUUGCCACAGUGCAAAUAUAGUGCCUAAAAUUCUAACAGCUACUUCUUUGGUAAUCUUUGAGACUGUGUCAAAAUGCAAAUGUUAGGAAGCAUCAUCAGGUACCUUAUCUUCUUGUAAAUAAAUUUGUCAAAAGCACAACAUGUUAGUUGUGUUGAUACAAAUAUUUGUUUUAAUCUUUUGAUCUCUAAAAAAUAUUGGAACAUUUUACUCUCCUAGCUAAAAAUUAAAAAAAAAAAAGUUUUAGCUCCAGCGGUUAUAAAAAGUGGGUGCACUUUCUCCUAAUAACACCAAUAUAGUGAAACAAUACAAUUCAAAAAUAUUGUGUAAAUCAACAGUGCUUGUUUUGUAAAUGUAUAUAUAUGUUUGUGGGGGAAAAAAUUCAGCAUCAUGGCAAUACCUUGUCUUAUAAACAUUUAAUUGUGCCUUUGAUGAUGAAUGAAAAAUAUGCAUUUCAGUUACAAAUUUAUUUGUAUUGCAAAUUAUUACAUGGAUUGUCAAGCAGAUUGAAUUUUAAUACAAAAGAAUAUUAUUUUGCAA